AUACUUACCGGGCAGGGGAAAUACCAUGAUCACAAAGGCAGUUUUCCCAGGGUGAGGCUUAUCAGUUGCACCCUGGAUGCGCUGACCCCUGUGAUUUCUCCAAAUGUGGGAAACUCAAAUGCCAAAUUUGUGGUAGUGGGGGACUCCGUUCAUGCUGUCCCCUG